GACUGCUAUUUGGGUGAGGAUAAGCCAUGCGAGUUGUAUGGGAUCCCUAAAGUUCCCAUAGCAAACUGCUCAGUAACACAUGAUCAACUUGCCCUAUGGAGAGCACUAACCUCGGGAAACUGAGGAUAAUGGCUCAUACUUGAUUAGGCUUGGAAAAGUUUUUCAAUGAAAGGCGUAAGAAAAAUGGUUCUUAUGCGCCAUAGGAUAGGAUCGUGCUCGAUUAUGGUAGUUGGUGAGGUAACGGCUCACCAAGCCGAUAAUCGAUAGGGGCCGUGAGAGCGGUUGCCCCGAGAUGGGUACUGAGACAGCGACCCAGGCCUUACGAGGCGCAGCAGGCGCGAGACCUCCGCAAUACACGCAAGUGUGACGGGGUUACCCAAAGUGUCCUUAUUGGACUGUGGCGGGUGAGUAAUGUUCCCCGCUAGAAAGGAGAGGGCAAGGCUGGUGCCAGCCGCCGCGGUAAAACCAGCUCUUCAAGUGGUCGGGAUAAUUAUUGGGCUUAAAGUGUCCGUAGCCGGUUUAGUAAGUUCCUGGUAAAACCGGGCAGCUUAACUGUCCGUAUGCUAGGAAUACUGCUAUGCUAGAGGGCGGGAGAGGUCUGAGGUACUACAGGGGUAGGGGUGAAAUCUUAUAAUCCUUGUAGGACCACCAGUGGCGAAAGCGUCAGACUGGAACGCGCCUGACGGUGAGGGACGAAAGCCAGGGGAGCGAACCGGAUUAGAUACCCGGGUAGUCCUGGCCGUAAACGAUGCAUACUAGGCAAUGGUGCGGCCAUGAGCCGCAUCAGUACCGUAGGGAAACCGUUAAGUGUGCCGCCUGGGAAGUACGGUCGCAAGGCUAAAACUUAAAGGAAUUGGCGGGGGAGCACCACAAGGGGUGAAGCCUGCGGUUCAAUUGGAUUC
rnacentral:rRNA from 1 species